AAAGGCAAGUGCUGAGGUGGGGUGGUGCUGAGAGUGUUUUCUCAGACAGUCUGUGCUGGUGUAUAUGGGGGCUUGAGUGGG